ensembl:lncRNA
CAAAGGGUUACCUCGCUCCCUUCACUGCAAAGACCGAUUCCUCAGGCCGUGGCUGGCUCUCUGUGCUCCCAGGUACAAUCCUUGUGUGGUCCUGCCUGGCUUGCGGCAUCCUCCUCCUCUUCUCUGUGAGUACAUGUGGCUAGUGAUCUGCCUGGCGUCUGGUGGUGUGUGUUCAGCCACCUACUGUUUAGAAUGAAGGAAUCAUCCUACACCAGUGGGGUGCAUAGAAGUUGAUCAGAAUACCUGUGCCGAUACUACAACAGAGAACAAGACACAUGCAGGCCUUGCCCUUAGGGAGCUUACCAUCUUGUGGGAAAGGUCGCUGGCUUUGUCUGGAACUGCCCUCUUUCCUGAGACAGCUCUCUUUCCUGAGACAGCUCUCUCCUCCACAGAGAUCUUCUUGGCACCCAGUGGGGCUUCUGGCUUCUUCCUCCACUGGGGCUUCCUGCCAGCUGCCAAUUCCCUCUGCAUCUCCUGGUUCUGUGGGCCCUGCUGUGCUGACUCCUGGAUCCUGCUGAUCUAGAGGUUGAGCCGUGACUUCACCACCCCUGAGAGCUCCAAGUUCUUGCAGCUGGAGGCUGGGCCCUCUCGGCUCUGACCCACCAGCUCCUUCUAGAAGAGGUGGUGCUUGCUGGCGACAUCCACGGGAGCCACAGGGAACUCAGUGUGGAAUCAGUUUGCAUACCUGACAGACUUUGAUCUCUGUACGGCUGAGAGGUAUUGCUCCAGCUUCGGGCCUAAUCUGACCAGUCUGGCUGGGAGCCACAUGCUGGUGCUGGGUCUGAUGCCCUCCUGAACCUGCUGCUCCCCAUGCUGCCAUGCCGGCUGGCUGGCCUCCAUAUGGACUCCGCUCCAAGCCCCUCUGCUUGCCGACCCUCCGUCCAGAGCUGCCUGCAUAGUUCUCUCCACCUCACGCCUCUCUGGGGCCGGCAGGUCCUUGUCAUCCGUGGUGAAUCUCAGGUUCCAGAGUUGCCACCGGCGUUCUCGCUCCUGUUCCUCCUCGUCCUCCAGGGCCCACUGCUGGGUCAGACUGGACAGAGGGGCCCAGCUCUUCCUGCUAACCAACGUGCCGCCAGACCACCAUGCAUCCCGUCCGCUCCCGUAUGAGCCCAGGAUUUUGGUUUGUACAAAGAAUCUGUUCAUCUGGAUCAAGGGUUUGCAAAUGAUGACUGUGGUCCAAAUCUGGACACUCCUAUUUAUUGUGUAUUACCACGGUUGCUUUUACACUAUCGCAGAAGAAUGGGAUAAUUACGACAGAGACUGUAUGGCCUACAAAGCUGAAAAUGUUUAUUUUCUGUCCCUUGGUAGAACAAAGUUGGCAAAGUCUUGUUUUCAAUCUUAUCUGAAACACUUUUACUAAAUUUCUUAGAAUUUCAC